CACACUGAGGCAUGUUUUUGUUUAUCACCUAGAGCCUUUCUAGCCAUCCCAUCUAUUAUUAUUAUCCAUUGUUUCACCCUGUUGAGCCUGUUAAUCAUUUAUUUCUGAUAUACCCGUUUUUUCUCAAUCCAUGACCUUAUAACUAUCCUACCCUGUUCAGAGUAUGUGAGGAUUGAUUUCAUCUCUACGUUUCUAUCUAAGUUUGGGGUUGUUGUUGGAAUAGCAACCUUUAAGUUUGGGGUAGCUUUGCAGUAAGUGAAUAGUAAGUGAAUGUAGUAUUAAAAAAAAAAAAAAAAA
rnacentral:lncRNA from 1 species